rnacentral:rRNA from 1 species
GAUGAACGCUAGCUACAGGCUUAACACAUGCAAGUCGAGGGACCGGCGCACGGGUGAGUAACACGUAUCCAACCUGCCCUUUACUCGGGGAUAGCCUUUCGAAAGAAAGAUUAAUACCCGAUAUAAAGGAUGGGGAUGCGUUCCAUUAGGUUGUUGGUGGGGUAACGGCCCACCAAGCCUUCGAUGGAUAGGGGUUCUGAGAGGAAGGUACCCCACAUUGGAUCGGAGACACGGUCCAAACGCCUACGGGAGGCAGGAGUGAGGAAUAUUGGUCAAUGGGCGCGAGCCUGAACUAGCCAAGUAGCGUGUAUGAAAAAGGCCUAUGGUUGUAAAGUACUUUCAGUCGGGAGGCGUUACCGACAGAAGAAGCACCGGCUAACUCCGUGCCAGCAGCCGCGGUAAUUC